UGGGGAAUAUUGGACAAUGGGCGAAAGCCUGAUCCAGCCAUGCCGCGUGUGUGAAGAAGGCCUUCGGAUUGUAAAGCACUUUAAGUUGGGAGGAAGGGCAGUAAGCGAAUACCUUGCUGUUUUGACGUUACCGACAGAAUAAGCACCGGCUAACUCUGUGCCAGCAGCCGCGGUAAUACAGAGGGUGCAAGCGUUAAUCGGAAUUACUGGGCGUAAAGCGCGCGUAGGUGGUUCGUUAAGUUGAAUGUGAAAGCCCCGGGCUCAACCUGGGAACUGCAUCCAAAACUGGCGAGCUAGAGUAUGGCAGAGGGUGGUGGAAUUUCCUGUGUAGCGGUGAAAUGCGUAGAUAUAGGAAGGAACACCAGUGGCGAAGGCGACCACCUGGGCUCAUACUGACACUGGGGUGCGAAAGCGUGGGGAGCAAACAGG
rnacentral:rRNA from 1 species